CAUGCCCCGUGGCCACAGCUACAAAUUCCAGUUUUAUCUCUGUUGUGGUUUUGAGCCCAUUUGCUUUUGAUUAUGUUUCAGUUUUGAAAGGAAAAGACAUACACUCCAGCUACCUUUUUUCUUUCUCAGAUGGAGUAAUAAACCUUAUUUAUAGUGGAAUUUGUUUCCUUCCAUGGCGACAGAUUUGAUUUUAUUAUUCUACCUCAUUGCAUUUGAGAUUGCAGCAAGGAGGAAACACAUAAAAGCAUAUCCAUCCCACACUACCUCCCUUGUAGCUGAUUAUAGAAAAAAAAGAUAUAACAAUCUGUUGGUCACCCUGUCCCAUGACAAUUUUUUGCUUAUGACCAACAGAAUUGCACUUUAUGUUCAAAAGAAUUCUUCAUGUGCACCCUGUCAACAAAAGUGGAUGUAAGAUUCAAAGUAUGAGUGCCAACAGUGGCCACAUAUAGUCACAGUGACUUGGGAGACUGAGACAGGAGGACCACUUGAGCCCAGGAGUUCCAGGUCAACCUGGAUAACAUAGUUUGACCCUGUAUCAAAAAGAAGAGAAAAAUCUGAGUGUGGUGGUGUACACCUGUACACUCAGCAGCCUGAGGCAGGAGGAUUGCUGUGAGUUCAAGGCCAACCUGAACUACAUGGUCAGACCCUGUCUCAAAAAACAAAAAAAAAAAAAAAGAAAAAGAAAAGAAAAGAUUCAAAGUACGGCCAACCUCAGCAUGACACCAUAUGUCCAUUUCUUCUAUCACUGAUAGCACUCUUCAAAGCUGCAAUAUGCUUUGCAUAGCAUGAUCAUUUGAGCUGGAAAGUUUGAGCACAAUUUUAAUUUGCUUUUGUGCCUUUCUAUUCAAACCAGGUGAAAACAUGGCCUAACUCCAGUCUGCCGACAUACAUCUUCCAAAAUGUGGGACACCUGCCUCAUUUUCCGAUGUGUAGCAUCUCCCACAGAGUGCACCUGACCUCAGGCUGGCCGAGCGGUGUAGAGGAAUGUUGAGAAGAUGCCCCAGUGGUGCCGAGGUGACAUUUUCAGACAUGUAACAUCUGAAAAUGUGAAUUCACUGUAUGUUUUGGUCACAUCACAUAUUUGUCUGUGUUUGACUUUACUGGGCCAUGGACUGUUCUUGAGAUCUCACAUCUGCUCACUACUUUGUGAUGCCCAUUCAUCUCGGGC
rnacentral:lncRNA from 1 species